rnacentral:rRNA from 1 species
CCUACGGGAGGCAGCAGUGGGGAAUUUUGGACAAUGGGCGCAAGCCUGAUCCAGCAAUGCCGCGUGAGUGAAGAAGGCCUUCGGGUUGUAAAGCUCUUUUGUCAGGGAAGAAACGGCAGUUUCUAAUACAGAUUGCUAAUGACGGUACCUGAAGAAUAAGCACCGGCUAACUACGUGCCAGCAGCCGCGGUAAUACGUAGGGUGCAAGCGUUAAUCGGAAUUACUGGGCGUAAAGCGUGCGCAGGCGGUUUUGUAAGUUUGUCGUGAAAUCCCCGGGCUCAACCUGGGAAUGGCGAUGAAGACUGCAAGGCUAGAAUCUGGCAGAGGGGGGUAGAAUUCCACGUGUAGCAGUGAAAUGCGUAGAGAUGUGGAGGAACACCGAUGGCGAAGGCAGCCCCCUGGGUCAAGAUUGACGCUCAUGCACGAAAGCGUGGGGAGCAAACAGGAUUAGAUACCCUGGUAGUCCACGCCCUAAACGAUGUCUACUAGUUGUCGGGUUUUAAUUAACUUGGUAACGCNGCUACGCGUGAGUAGACGCCGUCGGGUAGGUACGGUCGCGAGAAGUUAAAACGUUAAAACGGUAAAGUUAGUACGGCGUGAGAGUGCCGACGGACGACGACGAGGGAGGAGG